AUGCACGCUAGCGAUAGGCUUAACACAUGCAAGUCGAGGGGCAGCAUGGUCUUAGCUUGCUAAGACUGAUGGCGACCGGCGCACGGGUGCGUAACGCGUAUGCAACUUGCCUCACAGAGGGGGAUAACCCGUCGAAAGACGGACUAAUACCGCGUACACUCCAUCUUGGGCAUCCAAGGUAGAGGAAAUGAAAUUCGCUGUGAGAUAGGCAUGCGUCCCAUUAGCUAGUUGGUGAGGUAACGGCUCACCAAGGCGACGAUGGGUAGGGGAACUGAGAGGUUGAACCCCCACACUGGUACUGAGACACGGACCAGACUCCUACGGGAGGCAGCAGUGAGGAAUAUUGGUCAAUGGGCGAGAGCCUGAACCAGCCAAGUCGCGUGAAGGAUGACUGUCUUAUGGAUUGUAAACUUCUUUUAUACGGGAAUAACAAGAGUCACGUGUGACUCCCUGCAUGUACCGUAUGAAUAAGCAUCGGCUAACUCCGUG
rnacentral:rRNA from 1 species